CUGGCCUCUUCGAAGAUCCUUAUACCUUUUCCUCCGUGGUAUAAUGAUUCAAAGCGAGGCCUAAAGAAAUUUGCCAUUACUUGUCAUUUGUUUUAACUUACAGCAAUUAGUAGGAUUUUUGCGCUAUGGGUUUGAAACAAAGUUCAGUCUUUUUACCACUGGAAUUUUUAUGAUCAAGUUUGGCACAUUU
rnacentral:snoRNA from 1 species